ensembl:lncRNA
GUCAAAAUACCGGUUAUGACUUAAUUAACUUAAAUGUGUGUCUAUAUGACAUUUAGGUUAGUAUGAUGAUUAUCCCUAUGGGCUUAUUUGUUUUUAUAGCUAUGCACACUUUUCAUUCUUGAGAACCCCAAGGAACAAAAUGUUAUUGGCAUCCUCUCCAGCAACAAAGAACAGCUGCAUCUGUUUGGGACAUUUCCCAGGCCGCUCCUUCCUCCAUGUGUGAUGGAUACCGUUGAUCUGUCGACCCAGCCCUGAAGAGGGAGCUUGGAUUCUCACCAGCCUCCUUUGCCAGCACUCAUGCAGCUGCUGGGUAUGCCAGAACCAGAGGAUAAAGAUGGAAAGACAAGAACUGCUGGGGCCAUUUUGCUGCUAGGAUGGAAAGAGCUCAAGGAGGAAGCCAAUGCGAAGAGACGUGUGCAGCUAAGUGGAUCCCAGUCUGAGGUCUGGAGAAGGAGGUCCCGAAGAGAGGAGGAGAUUCAUUGCUUGAGGUCGCACAGAGCUCGAGGCAGAGUUGGGAAGAAAACUCUGUACCCACCAUGUCACCCAGGUCCCUUUGCCGAUUAACCACUGGCCACGGCACUGAAGCUCCCACGUUCCCUCACUUCCCUCCAGGUUAUGCACGCGUGAGAGUUUCGAGGUUAUCCCAAGGCAGAGAGGCUGUGUUGCAGGAAGUCAAAUGUAUGUGGUGCAGGUCCUAGACACGGCAUUACUGAUUUCACCCACAAGAAGCCAAAGUCUGCAUGAAACCACCUGUGUCAGCAAAGGUAAGGUCAAGUGGAUUUUGAGGUUGUGCAAAAGAGAUGCUCGUGUAUUGGCUUUUUUGAAUCUGUGAGCAUUUUUACACAUGUGGCUUGGUGCACAUGUGUACAUAUUUCUGUUCGUCUAUUCGUAGGAGUGGAAUUGUUGGAACAGAAGAUAUUUACAUAUUUAAGCUUAGGAGAUAUUGCCAAACAGUCUUCUAAAGUGCUCAUAUUUAUUUCCAUUCCCACCAGCCACGUAUGAGAGUUGAAGUUGCUCCAACAUUUUGUGUUGUCGUAUCUCUUUUUAAAAUAUCAUUUAAAUGUACAUGUGUAUAUAUAUCUCACUUUCUAAUGGCUGAAGAUUAUUGCCAGAAUGUGUCUCCUUCUCUGCUUGGUUCACUUAGCACCACAUUUCACUCUGGUCACUUGAGUGCUGUUGUAUCCUGGGCUGCAGAUGUGCUCAUGUAUUCUGGGCUAUUGUGGUGAGAUCAACAACUUUGCACUUGACCUCAGUGGCAAUCCAAAGAAAACAAAGGGAAAGGAACAAGACAUUUAACAUCCCCAAAAGAAGUCACCAUAAUUGAUUAUAUUUCAUUUAUCAGGAAACCAUUCCAAGUCUUUGACUAAUUUGAGACUCCCCGUUGUGAUAGAGAAUCUCUUCCUUUAUGAGAUGGUAUAAUCCUUGCCAGCAGUAUCCAGAGGCCUUCUCUGCUCAGAGUCUUCUCUGCUCUAGGCUGUCUGUAACGUACUCUUUAACAGAGAAACAGGAAGGAAGGAGAGACCACCUUUCAAGGUCUGGCCCCAGACUCCCUUUCUCCGUAGUUCCCACCCAAGGUGGACCACCCCUGACUCCUCUGUAAUGCAAUGAAACAGUCAAUGCUCUCAUUCUGAAGUGCUCCCUUCACUUCCACUGACCAUAAUAAAAUUUUGGCCUAAGCUUCA